ensembl:snoRNA
AGGCACUGUUCGUGGCCUGUCAGUCUGGCUGUGGCUCACGGGCUCCAUUCCAGUGCUACAGUGAUUCCGCGGCAUGUGACUGAGCGACGUGUGGCUCUCAGUGUCAGGUCCGGGGGACACAG